UUUAACGGCCGCGGUAUUUUGACCGUGCAAAGGUAGCGCAAUCACUUGUCUUUUAAAUAAAGACCCGUAUGAAUGGCAUAACGAGGGCUUAACUGUCUCCUUUUUCCUAUCAAUGAAAUUGAUCUCCUCGUGCAGAAGCGAGGAUGUUACCAUAAGACGAGAAGACCCUGUGGAUCUUUAGUUCUAAGAACAGAACAUACUUAAAUUACUUGUUUAUAAGUCAUGACUUAUUGAAACCUGUUCUACUGACUUUGGUUGGGGCGACCACGGAGAAACAUAAAACCUCCCUGAUGAAAGAAGAUAACUCUUCUAAUCCCAGAGCGACAGCUCUAAGAAAUAGAAUUUCUAACCUUCUGAUCCGGUAACACCGAUCUACGAAAUGAGUUACCCCAGGGAUAACAGCGCAAUCCUCUUUUAGAGCCCAUAUCGACAAGAGGGUUUACGACCUCGAUGUUGGAUCAGGGUAUCCUAAU
rnacentral:rRNA from 1 species